GUGAAUCAUCAAAUCUUUGAACGCAAAUUGCACUCAUUGGGAUUCCGAGGAGUAUGCGUGUGUGAGGGUCGUAAGAAUAGAAAAUCGAGGCGUCGCUCUUUUGUGUAAGGGGGAACUCGUCGUAACUGAGACGUCUUUCAGAUGUUAAUUCAUGUCAAUGUUGCUUAAAAUUCAUCCAUUGGGUACGAGUAAAGCGUAUUUAAUAUCAAUUGUUAUUAAGAA
rnacentral:misc_RNA from 1 species